GGAAAAUCAAUAAGUGCCUUAAGAAAUAUUGGCCUAUAUUACUACAGGAUUCAGUUCUUUGUAAUAUUCUACCUGACCGUCCAUCUAUUAUUUAUAGGAAGGGUCAAAAUCUAAAAGAUUUAAUUGCUCCAAGUUACCCUAGAAAAGAUAUACCCAGAAAGAAAGCUAUCACCCACAUGAAGGGAUCCAAAGGAUGCCAGAUGUGUCGGGCUUGUUCAAGGAUGAACUUAGGUUUAACUUUACAAUUCACAAGUUACACCACCGGGAUUUCUUUUCCAGUUAAAUCUAGUGUUGGUUGCCACACGGACUUUGUGGUUUAUUUACUGCAGUGUCCGUGUGGCAAGCAGUACGUGGGAAAGACUAAGAGACCCUUGAAAGUAUGUCUUAUGGAACAUAUAAACAUUAUAAAAAAAAGGUAUG